UAGUUAGUCUUUGUUUUGACAUUGAUUGAAAUGCUGUCAAAAAUCAUAUUGCUCUGUUAUUCUUGCUUGGUUGUUGCAAUAACUAGUAUUUGGUUCUUAAAACUUAUCGUUUUUCAUGUUUUAAAUGCACUCAGGGUGGAUCCACAAAAUAUCAUUUAAGCUCAAGAUGGCUACAAGUAUUUAAAAGUGAUCAAGAUUUAUUAUUUAUUUUGUCGAUUGAUAGAAAGGAAAAAUAUAUAUUUGUUAGCUGUAUUCCCAUCUCUCUAAGCUGUUGGAGUAACUUCUUGUAGCCAUCGCAGGUCCCAGUUCUUGCUGGAAGGACCUCAACUUUCUUGUCUUUGUCUGGAUUGCAUUCCUUGCACUACAGAUUGCCAAGCGGCCUUGAUCAAGUGAACCCUCAUCUUUCAUUGUUCCGUACCUUAAAUCCGGUUUGGAUGAUGUUGUCUUAAAGCUUAUCAUCCUGAAUGGGUGGGCAAGGAUUCCACAUUCUUGGAGACGGGCGAUCAUGGACUUGUAGUAAGCCUCUUCCUACUCCAUAUGCUUGCUUUCUUUGGAUGGAUUCAUUUUAAGUUUGAUUUUGUACAUACCUGGCACUCAUUUUCUUUCACUUGCCUCCUAAAACCCAUAUUGUUUUCACCUCUCUUUUUCUAGCUUAUUCGAACACGGGCCUUUUGAGGGUAUAUAAUCUCUGUUUGUUCAAUAGAUUCAAAUACUUUCAAUUUCGAUUGUAUAUUUACAUACUCGAUUUUCUUAUUA